rnacentral:tRNA from 1 species
GGAGAGGUGACCGAGCGGCCGAAGGUGCACGCCUGGAAAGCGUGUAAGGGGUUUACGCUCCUUCAAGGGUUCGAAUCCCUUCCUCUCCGCCA